AUUGAACGCUGGCGGCAGGCCUAACACAUGCAAGUCGAACGAGUGGCGGACGGGUGAGUAAUGUCUGGGAAACUGCCUGAUGGAGGGGGAUAACUACUGGAAACGGUAGCUAAUACCGCAUACCCUCGGAUGUGCCCAGAUGGGAUUAGCUAGUAGGUGGGGUAAAGGCUCACAUAGGCGACGAUCCCUAGCUGGUCUGAGAGGAGGACCAGCCACACGGGAACGGAGACACGGUCCAGACUCCUACGGGAGGAAGAAGGGGGGAACAUCGCAAAAUGGGCGAAAGCCUGAUGCAGACAUGCGGGGUGGAUGAAGCGGGCCUCCGGGUUGUAAAGUCUUUUCAGCGGGGAGGCGUUACCCGCAGAAGAAGCAACGGCUAACUCCGUGCCAGCAGCCGCGGUAAUUC
rnacentral:rRNA from 1 species